rnacentral:rRNA from 1 species
UGGGGAAUAUUGGACAAUGGGCGAAAGCCUGAUCCAGCCAUGCCGCGUGUGUGAAGAAGGUCUUCGGAUUGUAAAGCACUUUAAGUUGGGAGGAAGGGCAGUUACCUAAUACGUGAUUGUUUUGACGUUACCGACAGAAUAAGCACCGGCUAACUCUGUGCCAGCAGCCGCGGUAAUACAGAGGGUGCAAGCGUUAAUCGGAAUUACUGGGCGUAAAGCGCGCGUAGGUGGUUAGUUAAGUUGGAUGUGAAAUCCCCGGGCUCAACCUGGGAACUGCAUUCAAAACUGACUGACUAGAGUAUGGUAGAGGGUGGUGGAAUUUCCUGUGUAGCGGUGAAAUGCGUAGAUAUAGGAAAGAACACCAGUGGCGAAGGCGACCACCUGGACUGAUACUGACGCUGAGGCACGAAAGUGUGGGUAUCAAACAGGAUUAGAUACCCAGGUAGUCCCUGAGCGGGCUGGCAAGGCGCAU